rnacentral:rRNA from 1 species
CGCACUGCGGCGUGCUACACAUGCAGUCGAACGAUGAACCAGGAGCUUGCUCUUGGGGAUUAGUGGCGAACGGGUGAGUAACACGUGAGUAACCUGCCCUUGACUCUGGGAUAAGCGUUGGAAACGACGUCUAAUACCGGAUACGAGCUUCAGCCGCAUGGCUAGGAGCUGGAAAGAAUUUCGGUCAAGGAUGGACUCGCGGCCUAUCAGCUAGUUGGUGAGGUAAUGGCUCACCAAGGCGACGACGGGUAGCCGGCCUGAGAGGGUGACCGGCCACACUGGAACUGAGACACGGUCCAGACUCCUACGGGAGGCAGCAGUGGGGAAUAUUGCACAAUGGGCGAAAGCCUGAUGCAGCAACGCCGCGUGAGGGACGACGGCCUUCGGGUUGUAAACCUCUUUUAGCAGGGAAGAAGCGAAAGUGACGGUACCUGCAGAAAAAGCACCGGCUAACUACGUGCCAGCAGCCGCGGUAAUACGUAGGGUGCAAGCGUUGUCCGGAAUUAUUGGGCGUAAAGAGCUCGUAGGCGGUUUGUCGCGUCUGCUGUGAAAUCCCGAGGCUCAACCUCGGGUCUGCAGUGGGUACGGGCAGACUAGAGUGCGGUAGGGGAGAUUGGAAUUCCUGGUGUAGCGGUGGAAUGCGCAGAUAUCAGGAGGAACACCGAUGGCGAAGGCAGAUCUCUGGGCCGUAACUGACGCUGAGGAGCGAAAGGGUGGGGAGCAAACAGGCUUAGAUACCCUGGUAGUCCACCCCGUAAACGUUGGGCGCUAGAUGUGGGGACCAUUCCACGGUUUCCGUGUCGUAGCUAACGCAUUAAGCGCCCCGCCUGGGGAGUACGGCCGCAAGGCUAAAACUCAAAGGAAUUGACGGGGGCCCGCACAAGCGGCGGAGCAUGCGGAUUAAUUCGAUGCAACGCGAAGAACCUUACCAAGGCUUGACAUAUACGAGAACGGGCCAGAAAUGGUCAACUCUUUGGACACUCGUAAACAGGUGGUGGCAUGGUUGUCGUCAGCUCGUGUCGUGAGAUGUUGGGUAGUCCCGCAACGAGCGCAACCCUCGGUUCUAUGUGCAGCACGUAAUGGUGGAACUCAUGGCAUACUGCGGGUUCACUCGGAGAGGUGGGACGACGUCAAUCAUCAUUGCCCGUUAUGUCUGGCUUCGCAUGCUAAUGGCGUACAAGGUCUGCAUAUCGUAACGUGAAGCGCAU